GUACACGCUGUGACUAGCAUAUCAAUAAGCGGAGGAAAAGAAACUAACAAGGAUUCCCCUAGUAACGGCGAGUGAAGCGGGAAGAGCUCAAAUUUGAAAUCUUAAAGGGUUUCCCUUUACGAAUUGUAGUUUAAAGAAGUGUUUUCUGUUGAGGUUUUGGUAAAAGUUCUUUGGAAUAGGACAUCAUAGAGGGUGAGAAUCCCGUGUUUGACCUUUACUUUCAACUUUGUGAUACACUUUCAAAGAGUCGGAUUGUUUGGGAAUGCAGUCCAAAAUGGGUGGUAAAUUUCAUCUAAAGCUAAAUAUUGGCGAGAGACCGAUAGCGAACAAGUACCGUGAGGGAAAGAUGAAAAGAACUUUGAAAAGAGAGUUAAACAGUACGUGAAAUUGUCAAAAGGGAAGCGUUUGACACCAGUGUUGUUUUUCUGAAAAUCAAUUAAAGAACUGUUUAUGCUAAGCUGUUUAGACUUUAUCAGCUAUCUGUUUAGUUUUGAGCUUUUCUUUAAUGCACUUUUCAGUUAACAAGUCAACAUCAAUUUCUUUUGCUGUAAAAAAGCUUGAGGAAGGUGGCUUGAGAUUCGUCUUAAGUGUUUAUAGCCUCUUGCCUAUGCAGUCGGAGAGAUUGAGGUCUGCAGCGUAGAUCCUUCGGGGCUAAAUGCAUUUGUGCUAAGUUAUAGCAUUUUAUAGACAACUUGUUGACUAUGAUUUGUCUUGUAGCUUACUCGCUUAUGUUAUUUUACCUACGCUUAGGAUGUUGACGAGACUGUCGAUCUC
rnacentral:rRNA from 1 species